GCUUAGCCCUAAACAUUAAUAGCAUUAUACACAAGCUAUUCGCCCGGGAACUACGAGCAUAAGCUUAAAACCCAAAGGACUUGGCGGUGCUUAAGAUCCACCUAGAGGAGCCUGUUCUAGAACCGAUAACCCCCGUUCAACCUCACCCUCCCUUGAUCCUUCCGCCUAUAUACCACCGUCGUCAGCUUACCCUGUGAAGGAAUAAUAGUAAGCAAAACUGGCACAGCCCAAAACGUCAGGUCGAGGUGUAGCGCAUGGGAGGGGAAGAAAUGGGCUACAUUGAUUACUUUAGUGAAUACGAACGAUGCCCUGAAACGGACAUCCAAAGGAGGAUUUAGCAGUAAGCAAAGAACAGAGUGCUCCGCUGAAACUGGCUCUAAAGCGCGCACACACCGCCCGUCACUCUCCCCGCUUCAAUACCCACCUUAUACCAAAACCCCUAAUGAUCUCUAAGGGGAGGCAAGUCGUAACAUGGUAAGUGUACCGGAAGGUGCACUUGGUUAAAUCAGAGCGUAGCUAAGACAGAAAAGUAUCUCCCUUACACUGAGAAGUCACCCGUGCAAAUCGGGUCGCCCUGAACCAAACAGCUAGCUCACCCCCACAAACUCAAAAUACCCCCAUAAAUAACCCCCAAAGCACAACCAAGCCAUCUAACCAAACCAUUCUCCCUCCUCAGUACGGGCGACGGAAAAGGAACCAGAAGCAAUAGAUAAAGUACCGCAAGGGAACGCUGAAAGAGAAAUGAAACAACUCAGUAAAGUACAAAAAAGCAGAGACUCACACUCGUACCUUUUGCAUCAUGAUUUAGCAAGUUUACUCAAGCAAAGAGAACUGUAGUUUGACCCCCCGAAACUAAGUGAGCUACUCCAAGACAGCCUAUUAAAGGGCCAACCCGUCUCUGUGGCAAAAGAGUGGGAAGAGCUUCGAGUAGGGGUGAUAGACCUAUCGAACUUAGUUAUAGCUGGUUGCCUAAAAACUGGAUAGGAGUUCAGCCUUCUAGCUUCUCUACUCCAAUAAUUUUAAUUAACCCCUCAGACAUAAAGAAACUAGAAGAGUUACUCAAAGGGGGUACAGCCCCUUUGAGCAAAGACACAACUUUAGUAGCCGGGUAAAGAUCAUAACAACAAAAGGGAAGUGUUCCAGUGGGCCUAAAAGCAGCCAUCUAAACAGAAAGCGUUAAAGCUCAGACACACCCCACAUCCCCCUAAUUCCGAUAACAAAAUCUUAACCCACUUGACCUAUUAGGCUGUUUCAUGCAAACAUGAAAGCACCAAUGCUAAUAUGAGUAAUAAGAGAGGACAUUAGCCUCUCUCCCAGCACGCAUGUACAUCAGAACGGACCUUCCACCGAACAUUACCGGCCCCAAUCAAAGAGGGAAAUGGGCAAAAACCAAACAACUAGAAAACAGCCCAAUAACAACCGUUAAGCCCACACCGGCGUGCUUACAAGGAAAGACCUAAAGAAAAAGAAGGAACUCGGCAAACACAUCAAGCCUCGCCUGUUUACCAAAAACAUCGCCUCUUGUUACGCUCAAGAUAAGAGGUCCCGCCUGCCCGGUGAUAUAUUUAACGGCCGCGGUAUUUUAACCGCGCGAAGGUAGCGCAAUCACUUGUUUUUUAAAUGAAGACCCGUAUGAAUGGCACAACGAGGGCCUAACUGUCUCCUUUUUCCAGUCAGUGAAAUUGAUCUCCCCGUGCAGAAGCGGGGAUAACCACAUAAGACGAGAAGACCCUGUGGAGCUUUAGACACCAAGACAGACUUUAUUACUACCCCAAAAUAAAGGACACUACAAAGACCCUGUCUUGUGUCUUAGGUUGGGGCGACCCCGGAGAACAAAAAUCCUCCGCGCAGAACGAGAGAACUUCUCUCACAACCAAGAGUGACAACUCUAAGCAAUAGAACCUCUAACUAAAAGAUCCGGCCAAGCCGAUCAACGAACCAAGUUACCCCAGGGAUAACAGCGCAAUCCCCUUUUAGAGUCCCUAUCAACAAGGGGGUUUACGACCUCGAUGUUGGAUCAGGACAUCCUAAUGGUGCAGCCGCUAUUAAGGGUUCGUUUGUUCAACGAUUAAAGUCCU
rnacentral:misc_RNA from 1 species